rnacentral:rRNA from 1 species
UACUACAGCUUGGCACUGAACAUUGACCCUACAUGUGUAGGAUAGGUGGGAGGCUUUGAAGCACGUACGCCAGUAUGUGUGGAGCCGUCCUUGAAAUACCACCCUUGUAGUGUUGAUGUUCUAACGUUGACCCCUUAUCGGGGUUGCGGACAGUGCCUGGUGGGUAGUUUGACUGGGGCGGUCUCCUCCCAAAGAGUAACGGAGGAGCACGAAGGUGGGCUAAUCACGGUUGGACAUCGUGAGGUUAGUGCAAUG